rnacentral:rRNA from 1 species
AGAGUUUGAUCCUGGCUCAGAAUCAACGCUGGCGGCGUGCCUCAGACAUGCAAGUCGAACGCGAAAGUUCCCUUCGGGGAGCGAGUAGAGUGGCGCACGGGUGAGUAACACGUAGGUAAUCUACCUUUGGAUGGGGAAUAACAACCGGAAACGGUUGCUAAUACCGCAUAAUGCAGCGGCACCUAAUGGUGACAGUUGUUAAAGCGGGGGAUCGAAAGACCUCGCGUCUGAAGAGGAGCCUGCGGCGGAUUAGCUAGUUGGUAAGGUAACGGCUUACCAAGGCGAUGAUCCGUAACCGGCCUGAGAGGGCGGUCGGUCACACUGACACUGACAUACGGGUCAGACUCCUACGGGAGGCAGCAGUCGGGAAUUUUGGGCAAUGGGCGAAAGCCUGACCCAGCAACGCCGCGUGAAGGAUGAAAUCCCUCGGGAUGU